CUAUAGCAGCUAGGAUAUCCACAGAAGGCAUAUUCUAUUGCCUAACAAUAAAUUUGAUAAUCAACAAGUUGUCAAAGGUGAAUAUGGAGGAAAGCCUACAAAGGGCUCUUCUCCGAGCACAGGUCAUCAUUGAGGAGGCCAUGGGACAGCACAUCACAAAUCAAGUCAUUCUCCUGCAGCUGGGCGUGCUGAGGGACGCCAUGCACCGAGGCUAUUACACACUUGAUGCAUUCAGGUACCAGCCUCACUAUGGAGAAGAUGGCAAUCCAGCUGUUAGGCGCUUUGUGCGCCUAUCCAAGGUACCCUGUGCAAAGGAUCUCUAUUUCUUUGGUCCAACUGUACAGUUUCAGGAACAACUACAAGAGGCACUUGACAAAUUGAGCUCCAUGAUUGUUGAUAUGAAUGAGUUGGUCAUGUUCUUGAUGAGCUACCCUCGCCUGUAUCGCCAGCCAUACAACAAGCAUAUCCUUCUGGGUAACUGCAUGUUUGGUCGCCAGAUGGAAGCACAACUUGUCAUUAAUUUCCUUUUGCACACAAAACCUCAUAGUUCUGAAGAAUUGGACGUCCUGCCAGUUGUUGGUCCACAUAGAGUCGGUAAGAGUACACUAAUCGCUCAUGUUUGCAAGGACGAAAGAGUCCGUGAUUAUUUCUCAGAAAUCUUGUGGCUGCAUGACUCUGAUUUUACGGAUGAUGAGCUAACUUUGAGACAGGGAUGUGCAAUGAAACGACAGCUUUUUUUGUCAAACUUUAAGAAAGGCAAGAGAUUUCUAGUUGUGAUUGAACUAUAUGGCAAUCUCUGUGAAGAUGCCUGGAAUAAGUUUUACCGUGCUUCCAGACAGAGCUUUCUUAGUGGUAGUAAAAUCAUAGUCACAAGCUGUUCAGACAAGAUCGUAAAGUUUGGAAUGGCACCAGCUCUAACUCUGAAGCACCUGUCCCCUGAGGCUUACUGGUAUUUCUUCAAGACACUUACAUUUGGAAGCACGGAUCCCGAGAUGCACCCUAGGCUUGCUCAGCUGGCCAUGGAGAUAGCCAGACUGCAGAUUCGUUCAAUCAAUAGUGCAUAUACUACCUCUAAUUUGUUGAGGGACAAUUUUAGCAUACAAUUCUGGUGUAAGGUGCUGAGCUUCUUGAGAGGGUUCAUCCAGAAGCAUAUCUGCAAAUUCGGUGUGCAUCCUUUUGAACUUCUAAACAAAAACGAACCUGUUCAGCUUGGAAGAAUGGCUUCACCUUCUGAAGAUUUCAUAAUUUGUCAUCAGUAUCACCGCUCUCCCCACGAGGAGGUUCCAGAGAUAAGAUUACAAGAUGUGUUCUAUGGAAGCAUUAAGAAAAAUGGAAAAUUUGAGGUCCUAGUAUGGAGAUCUCAGAUACCCCCCUACUACAGCUAUGUCCAUGCUUGUGAGAUUCGAGAGCGAAAAAAUACAGGUGCCAAGAGGAAGCGUUGUAUGAAAGAUGGAACCACAUCUAGUUAAUUUUAUCAUUUUCUGGUUUAUGCAGGAAGAUAAAUAAUUUUUAUUCACUUCUUUGGGGUAGGAUGUCAUAGGUUACAGCAGAGUCAAUUCUGAAGUGUGCUACAUUUUCAUAUCUGUAGUGUAAGUGUCUAUCUACAUAAUGACACAUGAGUUAGAGGCAUAUAUUUUUCAUGGGAUUUGGUGGAUCCUUCCCCUGUUGUCGGUUUUACUCUAGAUAGCUGCCUCAGCCUGGGCUUUAAGCCUGUGUAACUGUGUUUUCAGUUUUAUCUUUUCAGUUCAACCCCAGCAGGGCAUUUUAUGGCCAAGAAAGAGUUUGCAUGACCGAUUGACUAAUCAGCGCCCUGUUGGCAACCAGGCAGAGUCUCGUUGGUACAAGAAGAUUUGGCACCCCACCAAUCUCUGGCCAAGAAAGAGUUGGAAAUUGGUCCCAAAAGUCAUGCAUGUGAAUAGACUAUUGACUCUCACAAUUUAGUUUUUUAUUAUAUAUGUUUUUGCUUCUUGGGCCCAUGGUUCUUAGGCCCCAUUUGGUUUGGUGUGAUUAAAGUUUAGUCACUUUUAGUUCCUAAAGAAACAAACAUGGUGACUAAAUUGGGGUGACUAAACUUUAGUUCUUUAGUCACCAGGGGGUGACUAAAAGAAUCUAAAAUAUGAUUUUUACCUUAUUUGUCCUCUCCACAUUUUUUUUGCAGCAAACAUCAACUAAUUAAUACGGGUAAUACAGUCAUUAUUCACAGCAAUUAAUAUUUUGUAGUCCGAUUUAGUCACUGGAACAAAAACGAGAUACUUUAGCGACUAGUAUUCACUAUGUAACCAAACGGGGUCUUAUAUAUUCCCUUGCUCUCCUCGGAGUUGUCAAGUGAAGCAUAGAAUACAGUCAUACACUCAUACAGACUACAGAGUGAGUUUUAGAAACAUCAAUACUCAUCUUGUGUUUUCUUAGUUCUUACCCGAGAACUCCCAAAUGGAAAGUUUCCUUUCUGCAAUCCUGGGUGAGCUGAUAUCUCGAUCCAUGAAUUUCAUCAUCAACAAGUGGUCAAAGCCACUGACACUGGACAUGGAGGAAAGCAUACAAGGGGCUCUUCUUCAAGCACAGGUCAUCAUUGAGGAGGCCAUGGGACGGCACAUCACGAAUCAAGCUAUGCUCCUGCAGCUGGGCAUGCUAAGGGACGCCAUGCACCGAGGCUAUUACACACUUGAUGCGUUCAGGUACCAGCCUCACUAUGGAGAAGGUGCUAAUGAUCCAUCUGGUAGGCGCUUUCUGACCCUAUCCAAGGCACCCUGUGUAAAGGAUCUCUAUUUCACCAGUCCAACUGUACAGUUUCAGGAACAACUACGAGAGGCACUCGACAAAUUGAGAUCCAUGAUUGUUGAUAUGAAUGAGUUGGUCAUGUUCUUGAUGAGCUACCCUCGCCUGUAUCGCCAGCCAUACAGCAUGCAUAUCCUUCUGUGUAACUGCAUGUUUGGUCGCCAGAUGGAAGCACAACUUGUCAUUAGUUUCCUUUUGCACACAAAACCUCAUAGUUCUGAAGAAUUGGAGGUCCUGCCAGUUGUUGGUCCACUCGGAGUCGGUAAGAGUACACUAAUCGCUCAUGUUUGCAAGUAUGAAAGAGUCCGUGAUUAUUUAUCAGAAAUCUUGUGGUUGCAUGACUGUGAUUUCACGGAUGAUGAGCUAACUUUCAGACAGGGAGGUGCAAUGAAACGUCAGAUUCUUUUGUCAAACUUGAAGAAAGGCAAGAGAUUGCUAGUUGUUAUUGAACUAUAUGGCAAUCUCUGUGAAGAUGGAUGGAACAGGUUUUACCGUGCUUCCAGACGGAGCUUUCUUAGCGGUAGUAAAAUCAUCGUGACUAGUUGUUCAGACAAGAUUGUAAAGUUCGGAACAACACCAGCUCUAACUCUGAAGCACCUGUCCCCUGAGGCUUACUGGUAUUUCUUCAAGACACUUACAUUUGGAAGCACGGAUCCCGAGAUGCACCCUAGGUUUGCACAGCUGGUCAUGGAGAUAGCUAGACUGCAGAUUCGUUCAAUCAAUAGUGCAUAUACUACCUCUAAUUUGUUGAGGGACAAUUUUAGCAUACACUUCUGGUGUAAGGUGCUGAGCUUCUUGAGAGGGUUCAUCCAGAAGCAUAUCUGCAAAUUCGGUGUGCAUCCUUUUGAACUUCUAAACAAAAACAAGCCUGUACAGCUUGGAAGAAUGGCUUCACUUUCUGAAGAUUUCAUGAUUUGUCAUGAGUAUCGCUGCUCUCCCCAAGAGGGGGUUCCAGAGAUAAGAAUGCAAGAUGUGAUGUAUGGAAGCAAUAAGAAGCAAGGAAAAUUUGAGGUCCUAGGAUGGAGAUCUCAGAUACCCCCCUACUACAGCUAUGUCUAUGUUUGUGAGAUUCGAGAGCGAAAAAUUACAGGUGCAAAGAGGAAGCACUGUGUGGAAGAUGGAGCCACAUCCAGUUAAUUGUAUCAUUUUCUGGUUUAUGCAGGCAGGUACUCUAUGGAUAAAUUACAUAAUCAUGGAUGUUGAUGGCUCAGUGGUUCACUCAGCGAAGGCUUGGAAUGGAAUUCAACAGUCAAGUGCUAUACGUAUUCUCUGGAAUAGCUAACUGGUAGCAACGAAAUAAAAAAGACAAAUCAGAAUAACCAGAAUACAGGAAGGGGAACUCACAUGGAAAGUUUUCUUCCUGCAGCCCUGGGAGAGCUCAUGGCUCAACACAUAAACUUCAUCAUCAACAAGUGCUUCAAGCCGCACACAAUGGUCAUGGAGGAAAGCCUACAAAGGGCUCUUCUCCGAGCACAGGUCAUCGAUGAGGAGGCCAUGGGACGGCACAUCACAAAUCAAGCCAUGAUCCAGCAGCUGGGCAUGCUGAGAGAUGCCAUGCACCGAGGCUAUUACGCGCUCGAUGCCUUCAGGUACCAGCCUCACUGUGGAGAGGACUGCAAUGAUCCAGCUAUUAGGGGCAUGCUAUCCCUAUCCAAGGUACCCUCUCCAAAGGAACCCUAUUUCUUCAGCCAAACUGCGCAGUCCCGGGUACAACUACAAGAUGCACUUGACGGAUUGAGUUCCAUGAUUGUUGAUCUAAAUGAGUCAGUCAUGUUCUUGAUGAGCUAUCCUCGUCUAUACCGCCAACCUUACAGCAUGCAUAUCCUACUGGCUAACUGCAUGUUUGGUCGCCAUAUGGAAGCAGAACUUGUUGUUAAAUUUCUGUUGCACACACCCCCUCACUGCUCUCGAGAAUUGGAGGUCAUGCCAAUUGUGGGGCCACCCAGAGUCGGCAAGAGUACCUUAGUGGCUCAUGUUUGCAAGGACGGAAGAGUCUGUGAUUAUUUCUCAGAAAUCUUGUGGUUGUGCGAGUCUGAUUUUACAAGUGAUGAGCUAGCUGGCAGACAAGGGUGUGGAAUGAAACGUCAAAAUUGUAUGCCAAACUUGAACAGAGGCAAGAGAUUGCUUGUUGUUAUUGAACUGUGUGGAAAUCUAUAUGAAGAUGCAUGGAAUAGGCUGUACCUUGUUUCCAAACGGAGCUUUCCUAGUGGUAGUAAAAUCAUAGUCACAAGCCAUUCAGACACGAUUGUAAAGUUUGGAACAACACCGGCUCUAACUCUGAAGCCUCUGUCCCAUGAGGCGUACUGGUAUUUCUUCAAGGCUCUUACGUUUGAAAGCAUGGAUCCCAAGAUGCAUCCAACGCUUGCACAGCUUGCAAUGGAGAUAGCUAGAAUGUUGCAUGGUUCGUUCCAUGGUGCACACAUCACAUCUUAUUUGCUGAGGGAAAAAUUUAACAUACACUUUUGGUUCAAGUUUCUGUGCUUCUUGAGAGGGUUCAUCCAGAAGCAUGUCUCCGAGAUCGGUGUCAAUCCAUUUGAUCUUCUGAACCAAAAUAGACCUGUACAACAUGGAAGAAUGGCUACACCUUCCGAAGAUUUAAUAGUUUGUCAUCAGUAUCACCGUUCUUCACAAGAGGAGGUUCCGGAGAUAAGGAUCCAAGAUGUGCUGUAUGGAAGCACUAAGAGACAUGGAAAAUUUGAGGUCCUAGUAUGGAGAUCUCAGAUACCCCCUUACUACAGCUAUGUCAAUGUUUGUGAGAUUCGAGAGCGUAAAAUUACAGGUGCUAAGAGGAAGCACCCUAUGAAAGAUAGAACUACUUUCUGAUAAUUUUGUAAUUUUUCUGGUUUAUGCAGGAACACACACACAUUCAUCUUAUAUUCACUUUUUUGGGGUCGGAUGUCAUAAGUUACAGCAGAGUCAAUUAUGAAGUGUAACUGUUAUGUUUUCAUAUCUGAAGUGUAAGUGUUUAUCUACAAAAUAACACAUGAGCCAGAGUUAUAUGUUUUCA